ACAUGGGUGGAAAAUCAACAAGUACGUAAUGAGUGAAUAUUGACACUUAGCUUUUGUUUUAUCAGAAAGGCUUGGACUGCGCGUUCAAAGUAACCAGUAAUUAAGUCGAGAUGAGAGAUAUGCUUGGUGGCCUAGGGAAGCUGAGUGAUCUCUUCCUCAGAAUAUUGCAGUGUGUCUUUGCAGCUGCUUCCGCUGGAGUAAUGGCUUCAGCUUCACGCUUCACAAGCUGCACCAGUUUUUGGUGUUUGGCACUUGUAAUGGGGGUUCUAUUUUUUUGGAGUUUAACUCUUUGCUGCCUGGAUCUUCAUUCCAUAAUGCUAAGAAGGAGAUGACAUUCUGUUUUCCUUUUGGUCCUGAUUUGUAU